rnacentral:rRNA from 1 species
AACAGUAAGUUCUACAGCGAAAGCGUUAAGUAAUCCACCUGGGGAGUACGCCGGCAACGGUGAAACUCAAAGGAAUUGACGGGGGCCCGCACAAGCGGAGGAACAUGUGGUUUAAUUCGAUGAUACGCGAGGAACCUUACCCGGGAUUGAAAUGGAGAGGAAUGAGGGUGAAAGCCUUCAGUCAGCAAUGACCUCUUUGUAGGUGCUGCAUGGUUGUCGUCAGCUCGUGCCGUGAGGUGUCGGCUUAAGUGCCAUAACGAGCGCAACCCUGACUGCCAGUUGCCAGCAAGUGAUGUUGGGGACUCUGGCGGGACUGCCGGCGUAAGCUGUGAGGAAGGUUGGGAUGACGUCAAAUCAGCACGGCCCUUACAUCCGGGGCGACACACGUGUUACAAUGGUCGGUACAGAGGGCAGCUACCACGCGAGUGGAUGCGAAUCUCGAAAGCCGAUCUCAGUUCGGAUCGGAGUCUGUAACUCGACUCCGUGAAGUUGGAUUCGCUAGUAAUCGCACAUCAGCCAUGGUGCGGUGAAUACGUUCCCGGGCCUUGUACACACCGCCCGUCAAGCCAUGGAAGCCUGUGGUACCUAAAGUCCGUGCCCGCAAGGAGCGGCCUAGGGUAAAACCGGUAACUGGGGCUAAGUCGUAACAAGGUAGCCGUA